UACGUAGGGGGCAAGCGUUGUCCGGAAUUAUUGGGCGUAAAGAGCGUGUAGGCGGUCCGGUAAGUCGGCUGUGAAAUCCCACGGCUCAACCGUGGAAGUGCCCCCGAUACUGCUUGUCUGGAGGGAGAUAGGGGAGAGCGGAACUCCUGGUGUAGCGGUGGAAUGCGCAGAUAUCAGGAAGAACACCGGUGGCGAAGGCGGCUCUCUGGGCCUUACCUGACGCUGAGGAGCGAAAGCGUGGGUAGCGAACAGG
rnacentral:rRNA from 1 species